rnacentral:rRNA from 1 species
UACAGAGGGGGCAAGCGUUGUUCGGAAUUACUGGGCGUAAAGGGCGCGUAGGCGGCCACCUAAGUCAGACGUGAAAUCCCUCGGCUCAACCGGGGAACUGCGUCUGAUACUGGAUGGCUUGAGUUCGGGAGAGGGAUGCGGAAUUCCAGGUGUAGCGGUGAAAUGCGUAGAUAUCGGGAGGAACACCAGUGGCGAAGGCGACUACCUGGCCUGUUCUUGACGCUGAGGCGCGAAAGCUAGGGGAGCAAACGGG